GGCGGGAGCCUGGUCGGCGCCUGAUCAGGGGAGCGAAGCGCCAGCUCAUCGGCCCUGACGCGGCCAAGAUCGCUGACGCCCUGUAAAUCCGUCGCGAAAGCUUCAGAGGUUCGAAUCCUCUACCCGCCACCA
rnacentral:tRNA from 1 species